AAUCUCGACCAGAAAAGAUGCAACAUUAUUAUUUAGACGCUUGACAAAAUCAAACGUUUGUAUGAUUCUGAUGCACAGCACAAUUAUAAUCGUUCACCAAUUUUGAGAAGGUAAGAUUAUUAUUUGGACGCUUGAAAAAGGAAACGUUUGUCUGCCGAAGAUAAUCACGUGACUCAAGGCCAUGUGCUAGUAUCAACAGUGCGGCAGUGCCAGUGAAAGUCAGGCGGUAUGCCGGAGCAACAAAGAGUCUUGAUUUUUAGAGGCAGGUUUUAAAGAAAGAAAUCAGUGUUGUAAAGAAAGAAAAAGAUUUUCCACUCAAAGAAUUAUGGAUAACACAGAGGGUUCAGGAACCAUAAAUUUGAUGUUGGAGUCUUAACUUCACCCUGAUAGACUUUGAGCACGUCAUAAGUUUAAGACCUAUGGACAAAAAUCUUGCAAUGGGAAGAUAA